GGAAACCGGAGCUAAUACCGGAUAAUAUUUUGAACCGCAUGGUUCAAAAGUGAAAGACGGUCUUGCUGUCACUUAUAGAUGGAUCCGCGCUGCAUUAGCUAGUUGGUAAGGUAACGGCUUACCAAGGCAACGAUGCAUAGCCGACCUGAGAGGGUGAUCGGCCACACUGGAACUGAGACACGGUCCAGACUCCUACGGGAGGCAGCAGUAGGGAAUCUUCCGCAAUGGGCGAAAGCCUGACGGAGCAACGCCGCGUGAGUGAUGAAGGUCUUCGGAUCGUAAAACUCUGUUAUUAGGGAAGAACAUAUGUGUAAGUAACUGUGCACAUCUUGACGGUACCUAAUCAGAAAGCCACGGCUAACUACGUGCCAGCAGCCGCGGUAAUACGUAGGUGGCAAGCGUUAUCCGGAAUUAUUGGGCGUAAAGCGCGCGUAGGCGGUUUUUUAAGUCUGAUGUGAAAGCCCACGGCUCAACCGUGGAGGGUCAUUGGAAACUGGAAAACUUGAGUGCAGAAGAGGAAAGUGGAAUUCCAUGUGUAGCGGUGAAAUGCGCAGAGAUAUGGAGGAACACCAGUGGCGAAGGCGACUUUCUGGUCUGUAACUGACGCUGAUGUGCGAAAGCGUGGGGAUCAAACAGGAUUAGAUACCCUGGUAGUCCACGCCGUAAACGAUGAGUGCUAAGUGUUAGGGGGUUUCCGCCCCUUAGUGCUGCAGCUAACGCAUUAAGCACUCCGCCUGGGGAGUACGACCGCAAGGUUGAAACUCAAAGGAAUUGACGGGGACCCGCACAAGCGGUGGAGCAUGUGGUUUAAUUCGAAGCAACGCGAAGAACCUUACCAAAUCUUGACAUCCUUUGACAACUCUAGAGAUAGAGCUUUCCCCUUCGGGGGACAAAGUGACAGGUGGUGCAUGGUUGUCGUCAGCUCGUGUCGUGAGAUGUUGGGUUAAGUCCCGCAACGAGCGCAACCCUUAAGCUUAGUUGCCAUCAUUAAGUUGGGCACUCUAAGUUGACUGCCGGUGACAAACCGGAGGAAGGUGGGGAUGACGUCAAAUCAUCAUGCCCCUUAUGAUUUGGGCUACACACGUGCUACAAUGGACAAUACAAAGGGCAGCGAAACCGCGAGGUCAAGCAAAUCCCAUAAAGUUGUUCUCAGUUCGGAUUGUAGUCUGCAACUCGACUACAUGAAGCUGGAAUCGCUAGUAAUCGUAGAUCAGCAUGCUACGGUGAAUACGUUCCCGGGUCUUGUACACACCGCCCGUCACACCACGAGAGUUUGUAACACCCGAAGCCGGUGGAGUAACCUUUUAGGAGCUAGCCGUCGAAGGUGGGACAAAUGAUUGGGGUGAAGUCGUAACAAGGUAGCCGUAUCGGAAGGUGCGGCUG
rnacentral:rRNA from 1 species